rnacentral:rRNA from 1 species
UACGUAGGGUGCAAGCGUUGUCCGGAAUUAUUGGGCGUAAAGAGCUCGUAGGCGGUCUGUCGCGUCUGCUGUGAAAACUCAGGGCUUAACCCUGAGCUUGCAGUGGGUACGGGCAGACUAGAGUGCGGUAGGGGAGACUGGAAUUCCUGGUGUAGCGGUGAAAUGCGCAGAUAUCAGGAGGAACACCGGUGGCGAAGGCGGUUCUCUGGGCAUGUUCUGACGCUGAGGAGCGAAAGUGUCGGGGAGCGAACAGG